rnacentral:misc_RNA from 1 species
GAUGAAGAACGUAGUGAAAUGCGAUAAGUAAUGUGAAUUGCAGAAUUCAGUGAAUCAUCGAAUCUUUGAACGCACAUUGCGCCCGCCAGUAUCUGGCGGGCAUGCCUGUUCGAGCGUCAUUUCAACCAUCAAGCCCCCGGCUUGUGUUGGGGACCUGCGGCUGCCGCAGGCCCUGAAAAGCAGUGGCGGGCUCGCUGUCACACCGAGCGUAGUAGCAUACAUCUCGCUCUGGGCGUGCUGCGGGUUCCGGCCGUUAAACCACCUUCAUAACCCAAGGUUGACCUCGGAUCAGGUAGGAAGACCCGCUGAACUUAAGCAUAUCAAUAAGCGGAGGA